AAAUAAAAAGAAAGAAAGAAAAAAAAAAGGCAGGUCUUGAAGAAAAAACUAUAAAGAAAUAUGAAAAGAGAGGACUUCAAAUUUGUCGGCUUUAGUUUCCAGUUUGGACUCGAAUUCUCCUGACAGAGGCUUGUUUUAGCUACAAUGAGAGGUUGAGAAACUUGAAGUUUUAGACAAGAAUUUCCCAUUGUUUUCAUUAUACAAAUACUGCUACUAUAGUUGGGAUUGUUUUCUUUCCUGAAAGUGCUUUGAAACGGGUUGAAGUAGAGUGUUAUUCCUCGCUUAGUGCAGUAUUAAAUGCCUUACUAUUUAAUGUCCAAAAUCGUCUUCCUCCGUAUAAUUACUUA
rnacentral:misc_RNA from 1 species